rnacentral:rRNA from 1 species
GCCUUUGAACAAAUCACCCAGAUUGCACCAGAUCUCAUCAGACAUCGGAAGCUAAGCAGGGCUAUGCCUUGGAACUGCUUGAAUGGGCGACCGUCUUGAAUAAGGGAUGCUCUACAGGCU